CCUACGGGCGGCAGCAGUGAGGAAUAUUGGUCAAUGGCCGCAGGGCUGAACCAGCCAAGUCUCGUGAGGGAUGACGGUCCUAUGGAUUGUAAACCUCUUUUGUCAGGGAGCAAAGGGCGCCACGUGUGGCGCUUUGCGAGUACCUGAAGAAAAAGCAUCGGCUAACUCCGUGCCAGCAGCCGCGGUAAUACGGAGGAUGCGAGCGUUAUCCGGAUUUAUUGGGUUUAAAGGGUGCGCAGGCGGAAUGUCAAGUCAGUGGUAAAAUUUCGGGGCUCAACCCCGUCGUGCCGUUGAAACUGGCGUUCUUGAGUGAGCGAGAAGUAUGCGGAAUGCGUGGUGUAGCGGUGAAAUGCAUAGAUAUCACGCAGAACUCCGAUUGCGAAGGCAGCAUACCGGCGCGCAACGGACGCUCAUGCACGAAAGCGUGGGUAUCGAACAGGAUUAAUACCCGGGUAGUC
rnacentral:rRNA from 1 species